rnacentral:rRNA from 1 species
UACGUAGGGGGUUAGCGUUGUCCGGAUUUACUGGGUGUAAAGGGCGCGUAGGCGGGUCUGUAAGUCAGAGGUGAAAUCCUACAGCUUAACUGUAGAACUGCCUUUGAUACUGCGGAUCUUGAGUUCAGAAGAGAGAGAUGGAAUUCCAGGUGUAGUGGUGAAAUACGUAGAUAUCUGGAAGAACAUCAGUGGCGAAGGCGAUCUCUUGGUCUGUAACUGACGCUGAGGCGCGAAAGCGUGGGUAGCAAACAGG